UACAGAGGUCUCAAGCGUUGUUCGGAUUUACUGGGCGUAAAGGGCGCGUAGGCGGCGUGUUAAGUCAGUUGUGAAAUCUCCAAGCUUAACUUGGAACGGUCAACUGAUACUGAUGUGCUAGAGUGCAGAAGGGGCAACCGGAAUUCUUGGUGUAGCGGUGAAAUGCGUAGAUAUCAAGAGGAACACCUGAGGUGAAGACGGGUUGCUGGGCUGACACUGACGCUGAGGCGCGAAAGCUAGGGUAGCAAACGGG
rnacentral:rRNA from 1 species